GCAUGCCUACAACAUAGCUUUAAUGCAUCGGAUCCCAUUAGAACUCCGUAGUCAAGCACACUCGGGCUAGAUUAGUACUGGCAUGGGUGACUUCCUGGGAAGUCCUAGUGUUUUACAUGUC
rnacentral:rRNA from 1 species